ACUUUUUACAUCGAAAAAAGUCAGGAUCGAAAUUUUUGAGCGAGCCAUAGUUUGUGGUGAUAAAAUUAAUAAUUUCAAGUAGAUUAAUUGUUGUAAUUGAUAUAACUAGUUAAUAUCAGUAAAAUAAAGUUGUGAGUGAUUGAUAUAAUAUACAAUUUAGGAACCAGAAGUACCGUAGAAUCAAAUAAAAUUUCGCAACCUCAAAAAACUGUUCUGCUCACAGUAAACACAGUCGGUAGUCUGGCGCUCCGUUUACAACGGGAUUUUUGAACGGAACUUGGCGCCAGAUUCUACCGAAUCUGUGGAUAUAUGUAUAGUUAUAUUAGUAAUAGACGAAAUAAUUGUAACAGUGUGGUGGUGGUACUGUAGGGAGGGACCGUGGGCGCGACCGCCACGGUACUUACUGCUGUAACACAUUACAGAACUUUACUGAUACAAUUAAUAGUGUUACAACUCAUAAUGCGACGCGACGCAACGAACGGAAUCUUUUUGUACACCUCACUGAACAUGAUUACAUUGCGCGAGGGUUGUACUCGUGUUUUAAAAAUUGAGGGCCCGUGUCAUUUGUUUAUAAAGUUUCAAAUUGAGUAAUAAUUUGAAAUCACUAACUUUUAUUAAAUGGUUUUCGUAACACAAAGCCCCAAUUCGAAAGUUACGCUCUAUGUAUCUAACUUAUGUUAUUUAACCCAAAGAAGAUCGUUCCAACAAAGUUCAAUACUAUUCAUAAUUUGGGACAAAUAUAAAAGGAAUGUCAUUCGUGUCGGACGGCAUGUGAUGCGGCGACGUCGUGUCGUGUCGUGUCGUGUCGUGUCAUGCGUGCCGUGCGUGACGUGCGUGUCGGGCAGCAUCUAGUACAAGGCGAGUGCUAAGCUAGUGACGGUGCGACGAGCGGCACUACACGAUCGGACGCGCUGCGUGUAAACAAGAGCUUCAUGUUGUUUAUAAUAUUGUGUCCGAUAUGUUAAGAAUCUAUAUAUUAAUACGUGAAGCAAAAACUUUGUACCCUUUUUACGAAAACUGUGCCGACGGAGGAGUAUAAAAUUUCCCACACUUAUAGAAAAUACAGAGAAGUAGUGCAGAAUAUUAAUAUUUUUUAAAUUAUGCACAUGGCUAUGGAAUGAGCUCCCCUCCACGGUGUUUCCCGAGCGCUAUGACAUGUCCUUCUUCAAACGAGGCUUAUGGAGAGUAUUAAGCGGUAGGCAGCGGCUUGGCUCUGCCCCUGGCAUUGCUGAAGUCCAUGGGCGACGGUAACCACUCACCAUCAGGUGGGCCGUAUGCCCGUCUGCCUACAAAGGCAAAAAAAUACAUCAAAUCAAUACCAUGUAUUUGACACACACACGCAUGCAUGCUAUUUGUUUAUUGUCAAACUUUUCUUAUUGUUUAAAGUCUGUGGUCAAAUUGAGAAUAGAUUAAAUAUUUUUUGUCUUUAUUAAUAUUUGUCUAAAGUGUAGUUUUGUUCACUAAUUCUACGGGCUAUGUCAGCAACCUUCGUUCUUCUACUGAUUCGUUCUUUGGCGAAAUCUGUGAUUAUAGAAGUAUAAUAAAUAGUCUUUCACAAUAGAAUCAUAAUAAUGUAUAAACUAUAAUUUCAAUUAAUUAUAGUCGAAUUUCGACUACCGGGGAACCGCUAGUACAUAUUAUCACAGGAGAACAAGAACAUGUUGCAGUUAAUUCUCUAGUUUUGUAUCGGACACACACACAUGUUACACCCACACCCACACACGCACACACAUGGACACCGACACUGCUGACAGCUAAAUCGCUACACGCUGCUAAGAGCUCAACUCAAAUCUAAUGAAAUAUGCGUAUUGGUAGACAAAACAAUCAAGAGGAUAGCUCUCCCUCUCCAAGUGCAACGCAAUAUUGAUUAAAGAACAAUCAAAUAUUUUUAAUAGUUUUCAAAAUGUAUAAUGACGAGUUUUCUUAUAACAGACCACAAGCAUAGAGUGGUCAGAGCGAUACAGGAACACAUAUUAAAGUACAGAAUACAACUUUUAAACGAUGAUGACAUUUUUAUGAGCCAAAAGACGUCGACUGUUGGACACACGUCUCACUGUUGUCCGAGGACCCUGUGAGGUCGCAGGAGAAUGCUGGGUGAAGGCGGAACUGUUACUUGUAAGUUUAUCAAUGUGACUUGUGAUUUCAAACAAUGCGACCGCUAACUGCUUCAACGAGCACUCAGUGAAAGUGGUACAGGCCUCAGUGAGCUGCACAAAAACUAACGCAGAGCAUUAACAAUACUAAUACACUUUUUGCGUUUAUAGUAAAGACUCUUUUGCCUUGCACAAUCUCUUUGAUCCGAGACGUACGUGCGCCUUACGUGUAAGAGUUAAGAUUGAUUUCCGUAGCACAUUGUGGAAUGUGAUGUGUGCGUACCACAUAACUCUGCCGUAAGCAUCUGACAGCUCGUUGUAAGGUGAAUGUUCUCUAGAGACGCCAUGUGCUCUAGGGCUAGUACUGAGCUGGUAGCAAAUUAACUACGAAUACGUCCCAGCUUCGAGGAGAAGAGUCAUUGUUGUCCUCAUACCUCAAGCUUGACAAUGGCAUUGACGUCGUGAUGUACACGGGCGCCAGUAACUAUCUAUCAACAGAGCUGUGUGAGCUGCUCUACCUAUGUAAGCUAAUAAACUAGUAAAUUAGGUCGUAGUUUGUAAUCCAAUCUCCAGCUGAAAGAUACUGAAGACCUGUAAACUUACAUCUGCACCUGUACCAUCUAUCGCUAUGCUCUGUCUUUCGGAGACAAUUAGACCACAACGUAUGUAAUAACUAAUAAAGUAUUUAUUCCAUAGCAGCAUAGUGGAGUUGCUAUGAGGUCGACACUGUUCGUGGUGCAAAUGAACUGCUAUAUAAUUACGUUAGUUCAGAUGCUCCCUUGCGUCGUUUGCUCAGAUACACAAUGCGCAGAGACAGUCUUAUUGCAAUGUCAUUAUAAAUCUGAUGAGGUUAAUAGUAAUAGUACCAUUAUUAGUUAGUUGCGAGACAACGAAUCUGCUAAAAUACAUAAUCUUAAUCCAAUUAUGUGGCAACCCUGGCGGAUCUGAUAUGCAGCCCCCCUAGAAACUUCACUCUCUCGCUCGGACGUGAUCCGCAACGCACUUUCUACGAACUGCUUGUGUCAUAACUCUCAUUAGCGACUUAUUGAUAGAAACUACAGCGGAGAUCUACAAGAGCGCUACCGAUGUAAUAUCUCCGUUUUAUGAAUAAUAUCGUCCACAGUCGUGUCGCUACUCACAUACGUUCGACCAAAACCAAGGAACGAACACCCCCCGUCGAAUGCGCCGCUGAGGGUGAGACAGCCACGCAACACAGAUGUGACCUCAGCAAUCUACCUGCACGUAAUGAUCUCUGUAGCGACUGAACUGUUCCACGCGCGGGGCGUGGUGCCAGUUUACAGGAUUUAAUAAUAUGAUGUUACCAUACGUAACCAAAUUAUAACAAUCCCCCAACCUCUCUCUUCACUAUAAAUAAUAGAGAUUUCCAUCCAAUCUAAUCCCAUAAAACUGUGAAAAGUGGAAAAUUAUAUUAAUUGUAUCUGCACAAGCUGUUUAUAGUGCGAAUAGUUAUUUCAACAAGUAAUUAGUGCAACAUCUAUCGUUGACACACAUUGUGGAAGCAAAACCAAAGAUUACGGUAUCACAACUUACAGAAGAUGCAAAAAUAACUUCAAAUAAUUGUAUUAACUAAAUAAAACUGUAUUAAUUAAAAGUAAAAACAUUUUUUUAACGAAUCGUGGCAAGAACUAAGAUCGGAACUUCUCUGAAGCAUAUAAUUUGACUGAUAACUAAAGACAUCGACUCAUUAUAAAUUUCAGAGAGUCGGCAACCUGAAGUGGUAGUGGCCUGGAUAUAUGUAUAAGCCGUAUAAGCGACGCUCGCUGGAGCAAACAGGUUCUCGAGUGGAGAACACUCAGCAGCAAACGUAUCAUGGGACGCCACCCAGUUAAGUGGUGCGAUAAUCUUCACGCGGUGGCCGGCAAAAGAUGGACGAGGAGAGCCCAAGACCGGACUCAGCGAUGUGGGUUCGGAGAGACCAGGCUGAUGAUCCGAUGCGAAACACAAUAAACGCAUUUAUAAUAUAAUCGCUAUCACCGAGACCCCGCCCGUCUUGUCCGUCCAUGAAUAUUCAAAUAUAGGAGAGGAAUUUAGAAAUAGAAAAAGAGUAUUUUGAAUGUGUAAUUUGUGUGCAAUGCAUCAUUGAUGUUUCAAAAUGUUGUUGCUUGAUGGCCUGGGUCUACUCAUGAUACAACUAUAAUUAACCAUUCCGAUUGAAAAGAUGCAUUGGUGUUUGUAAAAGAAGACUCCCUGUAUAUCAUUGAAAAGUAGAUUAAAACUAGAAAAUAUGCAAGCUGUUAUUAUAGCUGCCAUGCUGCAUAAUAUCGUCAGAAGUAUGAAUUUAGAAGAAUUAGAAUCAGAAAUUUCAGUCGCAGAUACAUUACAGGAAAAUAAUAUAAUUGUUCGUAACAAUUUUUCAAAACUUACAUCUGAAAUACAACUAUGUACUUAUAAAUAAUUGCUUCCAAAGAUAAUUUAUAAAAUAAACUCCAAAGAUAA